GAUGAACGCUGGCGGCGUGCUUAACACAUGCAAGUCGAGCGAAGCACUUUACUUGGAUUUCUUCGGAAUGACGAGUAUUGUGACUGAGCGGCGGACGGGUGAGUAACGCGUGGGUAACCUGCCUCAUACAGGGGGAUAACAGUUAGAAAUGACUGCUAAUACCGCAUAAGACCACAGCACCGCAUGGUGCAGGGGUAAAAACUCCGGUGGUAUGAGAUGGACCCGCGUCUGAUUAGCUGGUUGGUGGGGCAACGGCCUACCAAGGCAACGAUCAGUAGCCGGCCUGAGAGGGCGACCGGCCACAUUGGGACUGAGACACGGCCCAAACUCCUACGGGGGGCAGCAGUGGGGAAUAUUGCACAAUGGGGGAAACCCUGAUGCAGCGACGCCGCGUGAAGGAAGAAGUAUUUCGGUAUGUAAACUUCUAUCAGCAGGGAAGAAAAUGACGGUACCUGACUAAGAAGCCCCGGCUAACUACGUGCCAGCAGCCGCGGUAA
rnacentral:rRNA from 1 species